CUGCAAGGAAAACAUAGGAUGCUACUCUCAGAGUGACCUUCCACAGCAUACAGUUGGCAAAGGGGAGAUCUAAACUUCAUUCUCAUGGCUCUUGAUUGACUCCAUCAUCCUAAUCUCAAGAGCUGUCGGACCAACGAUGAGCCUUGAAGAAAAGCCCACCCACAAAAGUGCAAGAUGUCUUUAAUAUGAAUCUUUCUGUAGCUGUCUCACCAUUUGUUCAGCUCACUAGUCAUUCUGCUUUCAACAUCGAUGAAGCGAAUAUGCAAAUGAAUAUGCAAAUGACGGCCCGGGGAGGUUGGGCCUCGGCUUUCCUUGCGCAGGAAAGGGAUGGAUGGAGAUGAAGAUGGCAAGAAGAGAUGAAGCACUCCUGGAGAGGGUUACCCCCUUCUCUUUCCCUCACUGUAAAUGACUCUUACACACCUGGACAUGGAGUGUAAAUACAUAUGAAUUCGCGGUGCCUGAAUGGCACAUUGUGCAUCUUUUAGAAAUCAGUUCUCCAAACAGCUUAAGUCAGAUUUCAUCCUGGAAGUUCCUUCUCUGUACGAAUGACAACACA
rnacentral:lncRNA from 1 species